rnacentral:pre_miRNA from 1 species
AGCAUGCCCCUUCAUAGUAUGAAAUACUUGUCGGAAGAAUGGAUGUAUCUAGACAUAUCUUAGUUCUAAAUACAUUCAUUUUUAUCCAGUUCUUCGACAAGUAUUUCCGGACGGAGGGGGUAGAAA